UACAGAGGUCUCAAGCGUUGUUCGGAUUCAUUGGGCGUAAAGGGUGUGUAGGUGGCGCCGUAAGUGGGGUGUGAAAUUUCGAGGCUUAACCUCGAAACUGCAUUCCAUACUGCGGUGCUUGAGGACUGGAGAGGAGACUGGAAUUUACGGUUUAGCAGUGGAAUGCGUAGAUAUCGUAAGGAAGACCAGUGGCGAAGGCGGGUCUCUGGACAGUUCCUGACGCUGAGACGCGAAGGCCAGAGGAGCAAACGGG
rnacentral:rRNA from 1 species